rnacentral:rRNA from 1 species
CCUACGGGAGGCAGCAGUGGGGGAUAUUGCACAAUGGGGGGAACCCUGAUGCAGCGACGCCGCGUGGGUGAAGAAGCUCCUCGGCGCGUACAGCCCUGUCAGCCGGGAAGAAAAUGACGGUACCUGAAGAAGAAGCCCCGGUUAACUACGUGCCACCAGCCGCGGUAAUACGUAGGGGGCCAGCGUUAUCCGGAUUUACUGGGUGUAAAGGGGGCGCAGACGGCGAUGCAAGCCAGGAGUGAAAGCCCUGGGCCCAACCCCGGGACUGCCUUUGGAACUGCGUGGCUGGAGUGGAGGAGGGGCAGGCGGAAUGCGUGGUGUAGCGGUGAAAUGCGUAGAUAUCAGGAGGAACACCGGUGGCGAAGGCGGCCUGCUGGACUGCAACUGACGUUGAGGCCCGAAAGCGUGGGGAGCAAACAGGAUUAGAUACCCCAGUAGUC